AAUAGCUUCACUGCCGUUUGUUAUUCUUUCUCCGCGCCGUGUUCUCUAUAAUCUCAGGUGAUAAGGAUCAAAAUGGAGCUCAGUUCAGAAGAUAACAAUCUUGUUUUGCCUCCUGUUGAGCAGGCAGAUGAUUCUGGUGUUGAGGACAAGUCUCACACAAAUAGUGUCAUCUGUUGAGAUGGAUUCGAUAAGUUUAGCUUAUGGUUGUCCUGAUCUCAGAACUCUUGAUCUUUGUGGUUGUGUAUUAAUUACAGAUGAGAGUGUUGUGGCUUUGGCAAACCGGUGUGUACACUUGAGGUCAUUGGGGUUAUACUACUGCAGAAACAUUACAGACAGAGCGAUGUACUCAUUGGUUCAAGCGGUAUGCGAUACAUUCCCAGCACUCCACACUUGUUCAGGCAGGCAUUCACUUGUCAUGAGUGGUUGUCUCCAUUUACAAUCAGUUCACUGUGCAUGCAUCCUCCAAUCUCACGAAACCCACACCGCUUUCCCUCACCGGCUCAUUGAACCGGUGUGUAAGCCAGAAGGUCUUCUCUUUGGUAUAUGUGUACACAUAAAAAAGCCUAUGGUGUUAAUAAAAACUUCUUUGAGUUUACUUCUUGUCUUUUGAUGCAAAAUCUCAAGAUUUUAACAUUAUAUACAUUAUAUCAAUCUUGUAAAUGAUUGCCAAAUACUUAUAUCUAACAAUUUGUUAAGCUUGGUCCAACAAUCACACCAUCAUUAAAGCUUGCAAGAUGAUUUGGUUGAGAAUAUUUAAGCAAAAUUUGAAGCAAAUCAGUAUUAAAAUUAAUUAUUUUC